rnacentral:rRNA from 1 species
GAUGAACGCUGGCGGCGUGCCUAAUACAUGCAAGUCGAGCGAACGGACGAGAAGCUUGCUUCUCUGAUGUUAGCGGCGGACGGGUGAGUAACACGUGGAUAACCUACCUAUAAGACUGGGAUAACUUCGGGAAACCGGAGCUAAUACCGGAUAAUAUUUUGAACCGCAUGGUUCAAAAGUGAAAGACGGUCUUGCUGUCACUUAUAGAUGGAUCCGCGCUGCAUUAGCUAGUUGGUAAGGUAACGGCUUACCAAGGCAACGAUGCAUAGCCGACCUGAGAGGGUGGUCGGCCACACUGGAACUGAGACACGGUCCAGACUCCUACGGGAGGCAGCAGUAGGGAAUCUUCCGCAAUGGGCGAAAGCCUGACGGAGCAACGCCGCGUGAGUGAUGAAGGUCUUCGGAUCGUAAAACUCUGUUAUUAGGGAAGAACAUAUGUGUAAGUAACUGUGCACAGCUUGACGGUACCUAAUCAGAAAGCCACGGCUAACUACGUG